UGGGGAGUAGCUCAGUUGGUUAGAGCGACGACAUCGUAAUGUCGUAGGUCGCCGGUUCAAGUCCGGCCUCCCCAC
rnacentral:tRNA from 1 species